UCCCCGUUACCGGGGCAGUUUACUUAGAAAAAUUCAACUAAGUACAAGGGUUGCGCUCGUUGAUGGACUUAACCAAACAUCUCACGACACGAGCUGACGACGGCCAUGCAUCACCUGUCACCUUGCUCAAUAAAGCACUCUCUGCUUUCGCAGAAAUUCAAGGGAUGUCAAGCCCUGGUAAGGUUUUUCGUUUAUCAUCGAAUUAAACCACAUGCUCCACCGCUUGUGCAGGCCCCCGUCAAUUUCUUUGAGUUUUAGCCUUGCGGCCGUACUCCCCAGGCGGAUAACUUAAUGCGUUAGCUGCGCCACCAAAACUCUAAGAGCCCUGACAGCUAGUUAUCAUCGUUUACGGCGUAGACUAC
rnacentral:misc_RNA from 1 species